GGGCCGUAGUUUGAGGACCCCUGGCUAAUGACGGAGCUGCUGUCUCUGUGGGUAGAUGUCCUGCCAGCCACGUGCCCGUGGACCAGUGAUGACAAGACUAGAUGGAGGUCCCAGGCCAAGACUGUGUCCCUGACCAAAUGUUGUAACAGAAGUUACACCCAGAUCCCAGGUCCAGUUCUCCUCCCGCUGCAGCUGUUAAGCUGUGGCUAUCCCUGCCCUCAAGAUGCGCACAAUAGAAAUGGGAGACAGAGUCGGGCCCACUCUAGAGAACAGAGUGAAGUCUAAAAUAGAGACGGUGCAACAUGCUCUGGGAAGAAGAAACAAGUUCACCAGGACAGCAGGAGAGGUGUGAAGAGGCGAUCCUGUUCAGAUGGUUGUAAUUGAAGAGCAAGAUACCAAUAGAUAGAGGAGCCUGUUGUAGGAAGAGAGGAGUGAAGAAGGGAUGGAAAUGUGUAGAGAUGUGUUUAGUAAACAGCAGCUCACAGAGUACAGCGUAGGAAGGUCGUUGGAAUGGAGUUAGAAAGGAAAGAUAGGAUCCGAUUGUAGAGGCCUUGCAUGCUGAGGGGGGAUUAUAUUUUGUAGGCAGUCGGGAGUCAUGCAAGGCUUUUAAGCAAGGGAGAGACAAUAUCAAAACUGUGCUUUAAAAAGAUAACUGGGAAGAAAAUCAAAAAUAAGUGGCCAGCCUUCUGAGACCAAAGGCCAGAUAAAUAAUUAGAUGAUUGCAGUUACCAGGUGAAAGAAUGAGGGCCAGAACUAGGGCUAUGGUUCUGGGAAUUGAAAGGAAAAGGAUAGAUUUGAAAGGAUUUUGGAAGUAGGGGAAAUAAUUAAAGCAUUUAUUUGAAUUCAUGGGUCUGCAGCCAAAUAGGUUUACAAUACAUACCUAUAUAAAUCAUUAUGUUGUACGCCUAAAACUAAUACAGUGUUCUAAGUCAAUUAUAUCUUGAUAAAACGGGGGUGGGGGUGGGGGGCUGUUACUUAAUAAAAAAUGACAAUAUUCAUUUUAAGUUGA